AUUGAACGCUGGCGGCAGGCCUAACACAUGCAAGUCGAGCGGAGCGGCGGACGGGUGAGUAAUGCCUAGGUAUCUGACCGGUAGUGGGGGAUAACGUCCGGCAACGGGCCCUAAUACCGCAUACUUUUAGAUGAGCCUAGGUCGGAUUAGCUUGUUGGUGGGGUAAAGGCCUACUGGGGCGACGAUCCGUAACUGGUCUGAGGGGAUGAUCAGUCACACUGGAACUGAGGCACGGUCCAGACUCCUACGGGAGGCAGCAGUGGGGAAUAUUGGACAAUGGGCGAAAGCCUGAUCCAGCCAUGCCGCGUGUGUGAAGAAGGUCUUCGGAUUGUAAAGCACUUUAAGUUGGGAGGCGUUACCAACAGAAUAAGCACCGGCUAACUUCGUGCCAGCAGCCGCGGUAAUAC
rnacentral:rRNA from 1 species